rnacentral:rRNA from 1 species
ACUCCUACGGGAGGCAGCAGUGGGGAAUAUUGCACAAUGGGGGAAACCCUGAUGCAGCCAUGCCGCGUGUGUGAAGAAGGCCUUCGGUUGUAAAGCACUUUCAGUAGGGAGGAAGGUAGUGUAGUUAACACCUGCAUUAUUUGUACGUUACCUACAGAAGAAGCACCGGCUAACUCCGUGCCAGCAGCCGCGGUAAGUACGGAGGGUGCGAGCGUUAAUCGGAAUUACGUGGGCGUAAAGCGCAUGCAGGCGGCCUGUUAAGUCAGAUGUGAAAGCCCGGGGCUUAACCUCGGAAUUGCAUUUGAAACUGGCAGGCUAGAGUCUGUAGAGGGGUUAGGAAUUUCAGGUGUAGCGGUGAAAUGCGUAGAGAUC